rnacentral:misc_RNA from 1 species
AAUGUACAAUGCAAACAAUCUGUAACUUUUCCCGUGAAUUUUAGGUUCUAUCUUUUAGCAGCAGUUACUUUGCAAGUAACGCAUGGUAGGCAUCUCCAGUUUGAUACAUGUAAAAGGAUACAAUAACCCCAGUUCACAUGAGGACUAAUGUGACAGAUGUCAGCCAUGGCCAACAUCACCUACCAGAGAACUGUAAACAAAGGCCACUUGCCAUACAUGUAUCUCAAAGUGAAACUUGAGCUGGAGUCUGAUUGUCAAGUGACAGUUCUGUAUUUUAAAUCUACCAUUGUGGCUGCCGUAAAGCAAGUGUUUGGUGAGAUUGGAUCAAGUUUUGUGUUUGACAUUCUACAAUACUGGGAGCAGAAACGAGAGGCUAUUAUUCGGGUUCGAUACAGUGAUUUUGUGAAGCUGCAAAGUUCAUUGACAAUGUGUGGAUUUUAUUCCGGGAAACCUUGUGCCUUCAGACUAUUGCAGGUGUCUUCCCAUUUGAUUGGUUUGGCUGUCAACAGUCGAGAACUGACUGUAACGUGAUAAUAACAGGUGGCUUUUUCAAUGAACAUACUGCAGUUUCCUGAUACUGUGUUAUGAGUAAUGGAACAGAAUGUUUGGGGAUAUGAAGUUAAUAUGCUGGGGAUGCUAAAAACUUGGAGACAAGAUGGAAAUGCCAAUAACAGAAAGAGGAGAGAAUAUGUUGGUUAAUAAAGUAUAUUUGCAGAUACUUGCACGAGAACAAGGAUGUGUUUGAGAUAGAUAGGAGCAGGAUGUAGCACAGUGCAAAAUAUGGCAAUCACAGAACGAACCUUCCUAAAGAUGGGAUUAUUUCCCCAGGGCAGAUGAUACAUACUGCCAGUGAUCCUAAGAGUUGCCUUCAUGAUGGCUGUAGAUGUUACCCGAGUCUGACAGUAGACAGUGUGUCAAAAUUACCAUACAUUUUUGACAACUAAAACUAUCUGCAGAAACUUGAUGGAAUUGGUAUGGGUAUAAACAUAUUUUGAUGCUAGCUGGACAAGAUGAAAAUGGGCAAAUGGAAGUCUGUGGUGAGGACACUGACAUUACUGUUUUAGACAGUAAGACAACAAUGAGGACACUGACAUCACUGUUUAGACAGUAAGACAGCAAUGAGGAGGACACUGACUUUAUUGUUUUAGACAGUAAGACAACAAUGAGGACACUGACAUCACUGUUUAGACAGUAAGACAACAAUGAGGACACUGACAUUGUUUUAGACAGUAAGACAACAAUGAGGACACUGACAUCAGUUUUAGACAGUAAGACAACAAUGAGGACACUGACAUCACUGUUUAGACAGUAAGACAACAAUGAGGACACUGACAUCACUGUUUAGACAGUAAGACAACAAUGAGGACAUCAGUUUAGACAGUAAGACAACAAUGAGGACAUCACUGUUUAGACAGUAAGACAACAAUGAGGACAUCACUGUUUAGACAGUAAGACAAUGGGGACAUACUGCAUGUUAUAACAUGGUACUAUUUUAAGUGUGGUACCAGAGGGCUCUAAAAAUAGCACCACAGGUUACUUUAUAAUUAUUUUGUUGUAGUUAAACAGGCACAAAAGAGUAUUGAUCACAGUUUUUGUUGGUAUACUGUAUACAUUGUAUAGAUAAGGCAUUUCUUACACACCCAUUCAAGAAAUAUUUUGUUCAGUGUCACGUUUCAAGCUUCAGAGAGAUCGCAACACAAUAGUAACAUGUUAAACAGAGUUGUUGCUUCCAUAUUUUCAAGUUGAUCAGCAAUGUCACUUCACUAAUCAAAAUGUAAAAAACAAAAUGUUCCCUGCCAUUGGAGAAAACAUUGCGAGAUUGUUGUUAUUACAUGGUGAUCUCUCAUUUGUGAACUAUCGAUUUGAAGACAUUUGAUUGGCUUCUCCACAGUGAUAACUCAGAAGCCAAAGCUAUAUCAUCCAAUAAAUACAUGUAAGCACAACAAAAAUUGCUUGCUCUGUGACAUAGGAGUUAAAUUCAACCUGAUUGCUUUGUGUUGUCAGCAUGUACAAGUGUCAUAAAAUAAAUAAAUUGUAUUUGAAAAAUA